rnacentral:lncRNA from 1 species
UCUCGAAAUCUUUCCCAAGUGAGUGGCUCCCUAUCCUGCUCAUAUUUAUGUUCCAACAUCCGCCACCAGUUGAAUGCCUCACCUUGCAUCAUGUAUGAUGCAAACAAAAUCUUUUCAUCAUCCUGGCAUCUCAAGACAGGAAAUGCUUUUUCCAUCUCUAUAAGCCAAUUAUCUGCUUCCAACGGUUCUGUAGUCCCCUUGAAAGCUGGAGGAGCCAGCCUCUUAAAUUCAGCUAUACUGCUACGCUGUUCACACU